rnacentral:rRNA from 1 species
GUUUGAUCCUGGCUCAGGACGAACGCUGGCGGUAUGCUUAACACAUGCAAGUCGAACGAGAAGGUUUUGAAUGAUCCUUCGGGUGAAAUUAGAACUGGAAAGUGGCGAACGGGUGAGUAACGCGUGGGUAACCUGCCCUAUGGAAAGGAAUAGCCUCGGGAAACUGGGAGUAAAGCCUUAUAUUAUGGUUUUGUCGCAUGGCAAGAUCAUGAAAACUCCGGUGCCAUAGGAUGGACCCGCGUCCCAUUAGCUAGUUGGUGAGAUAACAGCCCACCAAGGCGACGAUGGGUAACCGGUCUGAGAGGGCGAACGGUCACACUGGAACUGAGACACGGUCCAGACUCCUACGGGAGGCAGCAGUGGGGAAUAUUGCGCAAUGGGGGCAACCCUGACGCAGCAAUACCGCGUGAGUGAAGAAGGUUUUCGGAUCGUAAAGCUCUGUUAUUGGGGAAGAAAACAUGACGGUACCCAAUGAGGAAGUCCCGGCUAACUACGUGCCAGCAGCCGCGGUAAUACGUAGGGGACAAGCGUUGUCCGGAAUGACUGGGCGUAAAGGGCGCGUAGGCGGUCUAUUAAGUCUGAUGUGAAAGGUACCGGCUCAACCGGUGAAGUGCAUUGGAAACUGGUAGACUGAG